rnacentral:rRNA from 1 species
UACGGAGGGUGCAAGCGUUACUCGGAAUCACUGGGCGUAAAGGACGCGUAGGCUGGUUAGAAAGUCAGGUGUGAAAGCCUACAGCUCAACUGUAGAACUGCAGUUGGAACUUCUAAUCUAGAGUAUGGGAGGGGGAGAUGGAAUUAGUGGUGUAGGGGUAAAAUCCGUAGAUAUCACUAGGAAUACCUAAAGCGAAGGCGAUCUCCUGGAACAUUACUGACGCUAAGGCGUGAAAGCGUGGGGAGCAAACAGG